rnacentral:rRNA from 1 species
GACGAACGCUGGCGGCGCGCCUAACACAUGCAAGUCGAACGAGCGAGAGAGAGCUUGCUUUCUCGAGCGAGUGGCGAACGGGUGAGUAACGCGUGAGGAACCUGCCUCAAAGAGGGGGACAACAGUUGGAAACGACUGCUCAUACCGCAUAAGCCCACGGCUCGGCAUCGAGCAGGGGGAAAAGGAGCAAUCCGCUUUGAGAUGGCCUCGCGUCCGAUUAGCUAGUUGGUGAGGUAACGGCCCACCAAGGCGACGACCGGUAGCCGGACUGAGAGGUUGAGCGGCCACAUUGGGACGGAGACACGGCCCAGAAUCCUACGGGAGGCAGCAGUGGGGAAUAUUGCACAAUCGGGGAAACCCUGAUGCAGCGACGCCGCGUGGAGGAAGAAGGUCUGCGGAUUGUAAACUCCUGUUGUUGGGGAAGAUAAUGACGGUACCCAACAAGGAAGUGACGGCUAACUACGUG